CUUGGUCAUUUAGAGGAAGUAAAAGUCGUAACAAGGUCUCCGUUGGUGAACCAGCGGAGGGAUCAUUACUGAGUUAUCCAACUCCCAAACCCCUGUGAACAUACCUAUGUUGCUUCGGCGGGUCGUCCCGCGGCGCGCCCUCGUGGCGUGACCCGGACCCAGGCGCCCGCCGGGGAACCAAACUCUUGUCUUCCAGUGUCUCCUCUGAGUGGCAUAAGCAAAAAUAAACAAAACUUUCAGCAACGGAUCUCUUGGUUCUGGCAUCGAUGAAGAACGCAGCGAAAUGCGAUAAGUAAUGUGAAUUGCAGAAUUCAGUGGAUCAUCGAAUCUUUGAACGCACAUUGCGCCCGCCAGUAUUCUGGCGGGCAUGCCUGUCUGAGCGUCAUUUCAACCCUCAGCCCCCGUUCGCGGGGCGCUGGCGUUGGGGCCCGGCCGUCCUCGCGGCGGCCGUCCCCGAAACACAGUGGCGGUCUCCCGCAGACUCCCCUGCGUAGUAGCACUACCUCGCAGAAGGGACGAGCGGGCUGGCCACGCCGUAAAACACCCCACUUCUCCAGGUUGACCUCAGAUCAGGUAGGAAUACCCGCUGAACUUAAGCAUAUCAAUAAGCGGAGGAAAAGAAACCAACAGGGAUUGCCCCAGUAACGGCGAGUGGAGCGGCAACAGCUCAAAUUUGAAAUCUGGCCUCGUGCCCGAGUUGUAAUUUGUAGAGGAUGCUUUUGGCGACGCGCCUUCCGAGUUCCCUGGAACGGGACGCCAUAGAGGGUGAGAGCCCCGUCCGGUCGUGCGCCUAGCCUCUGUAAAGCUCCUUCGACGAGUCGAGUUGUUUGGGAAU
rnacentral:sRNA from 1 species